UACAGAGGGUGCAAGCGUUAAUCGGAAUUACUGGGCGUAAAGCGUGCGUAGACGGUUAUGUAAGUCAGGUGUGAAAGCCCCGGGCUCAACCUGGGAAUUGCAUUUGAGACUGCAUAGCUAGGGUGCGGAAGAGGGAAGCGGAAUUUCCGGUGUAGCGGUGAAAUGCGUAGAUAUCGGAAGGAACACCAGUGGCGAAAGCGGCUUCCUGGUCCAGCACCGACGUUCAGGCACGAAAGCCAGGGGAGCGAACGGG
rnacentral:rRNA from 1 species